GGCUCCUACGGGGCGCAGCAGUGGGGGAUAUUGCACAAUGGGGGGAACCCUGAUGCAGCGACGCCGCGUGGGUGAAGGAGUAUUUCGGUAUGUAAAGCCCUAUCGGCAGGGAAGAAGCAAGACGGCACCUGACUAAGAAGCCCCGGCUAACUACGUGCCAGCAGCCGCGGUAAUACGUAGGGGGCGAGCGUUAUCCGGAUUUACUGGGUGUAAAGGGAGCGUAGACGGCCAUGCAAGCCAGGGGGGAAAGCCC
rnacentral:rRNA from 1 species